GUUGGGCUAAAGUGUCAUGGCGCCAGUUACGCGACACGGUUUCGUUUGAGUCCGUGCACUUGAACUUCGCAAACGUUGAACUGUAUUCGAAAUCAUCGAAGCGUUUAUUAUUUUGGUGUGAAAAAAUUUGGACCAGUGAAUCCUACAGGUUAUAAAAUCUGUUACUCAUUAAUUUCAAAUCGUAUACGUUGCACAGAGGCGUACGUGUCAGAACAGCGACCGACAUAACCUUAAAACGAGAGGAAUAACUCGAUUGUUUGUUACUCCGGCUGCUUGUGAGACUUGCUGAUGAGUAGACUACCAAGCGGAGCUGCUGGCGAGUAUCUAACUCAAGAAUAAUCUAUUUCCUGCGCAUUUCUAUUGACAAAAAUGCCGGACACAAUGGAGGAGGAUAUGGGGCUUUCGGUGAGAUUGACCAAUGAUGAUUUUAGGCGUCUCUUAAUGACGCCGAGGGCUUCGGUGCCGUCGUCAACUCCGGCGUCGGUUCCUGGAACAAUGCGAGACACCGCAGCUAAGACGGCACAAACUCCCGUAAUAGCGGGAGGAAGUCGAGCAGAGUUGAGGCGAAAAAAGAAGAGUUUUUAUGCCAAGCUUAAGAAACAGGAGGAGGAUAAAAUGGCAGAACUAGCUGAGAAGUACAGAGACAGAGCGAGGGAGAGACGAGAUGGAACUAAUGCUGAUUAUCAGUCCGAAGAUCCGAUGAAUACAGCGAGUGCCUACCGAGCCGUAGCGCCAGAUGUUAAAUCUGGUAUGGAUGCAGCAGAAAGAAGGAGGCAGAUGAUACAACAGUCGAAGUUCUUGGGUGGAGAUAUGGAGCACACUCAUUUGGUGAAAGGGUUGGAUUACGCGUUGCUGCAGAAGGUAAGGAGUGAGAUAGAGGCCAAGGAACAAGAGCAGGAAAUUGAAAUGGAAAAGCUGGUGAAGCCAAAGAAAGAUAAAGAGAAGGACAAGAAAGAGGUGGAAAAAAAAGAGGAGGAAAUGCAAUUCAAGACAAAGAUAGGACGUAAUAUACACAAAACAUUGGCUAUUAUGCGAUCCAAACAUGUUGAACGCAACGAAUUGUAUUGCCCUGGUCGAAUGGCAUACGUCAUUGAGCUAGAUGAUGAAAAUGCGGAUGGUGACAUACCAACGACGCUGAUCAGGAGCAAGGCCGACGUCCCGACGAUAGACACAACGCCAACUUUGACGACCAACGAUAUUGUCAUAAAUAAACUAGCCCAGAUUUUGUCCUACUUGCGUCAGGGCAGUCGACAUAAUAAGAAAGGAAAGAAGAACCGUGAAGGCAAAUCACGUGUAGAGGAACUCAACGAAAUUGAUACAGCACAGAGGCCUCAAGACGACAGCAUUUAUGGAGAUAUCGGCGACUACGUUCCUUCGUCAAGCAGAAAGGAGGCUGUUCAUUCAAAGGACAAGAAAAAGGGUUCAUAUUUUGACAAACCAGUUGAGACGUCGACAGACGAUGCAGCUAACGCUCCACAGCUACCGCCAGUAAUAGCACAGAGCAUUGAAAAUGCACCUAAGAAGGGUAUGCUGUUGAAUAAACUUGCUGCCGAACCUGAAGGCUAUGCCGAGUGUUAUCCAGGACUUGACGAGAUGCAGGAUGCUAUUGACGAUUCCGACGACGAAGUGGACUACACUAAAAUGGACCUGGGAAACAAGAAAGGGCCAAUUGGACGGUGGGAUUUUGACACUCCCGAGGAAUACAGCGAGUACAUGAACAACAAGGAGGCUUUGCCCAAGGCUGCCUUCCAGUAUGGAGUAAAAAUGGCAGAUGGAAGAAGAACUAGGAAGUAUAAUAAGGAGAAGAAUGAGAAAGCAGAGUUGGACAGAGAAUGGCAGAAAAUACAGAACAUCAUGAAUAAGAGAAAACCAACAGGAGGAUCGGAAGCAGUGCCAGAGUUCAAAGUCCCAAGAUAUUGAAUAGAUGAGAUAUCGAUUCAGGAUACGCAAGUUUAACCGAGGGGGAAAGUUAUUGCCACCGCUAGGUGACCCAGUGAUGAGUUACAACCGUCACCACAAAAUAACUGUUUUUCGAGACGUCUCCGGAGAUUUGCUGCCAACGGUUUAGUUUUUUAUAUUUUCCACUGAAAUUUUCAGAAAAUAUUCUUGAAAUGAUACUCUACAAUAUUGUAAUCAGUUAGUUUAAAAUGCAUUGCCUGUAUCUUGUGAAAAAAUGUUUAGAAAAAGUGUCUUUUUUUCACCCUUAAUAUCUCGUAUUGUCUUGUACAAAAUCACGUAUGAAAGUAAAAAAAAAGUAAAAACAGCCAAAUCACAUACUGACAAACAGCGCCCCAUAUCGUUUUACACAGCGCCGGUAAAUGCAAGGGUGGAUUUAAGGGCAUCGAAACGGAAAUUCUGUCAUUUUCAAUUUUUAUGUUCAGGAUUAAUUGCAUCAAUGUAAAAAAUUUAAAUGUCAAGAAAACACUCACAUUGUGCGGGAUUGGAUUUUUACAGCUGUGCUCGGUGUCCUGAAAAGCAUUGAGAAAACUUCAGCUCAGAGAUCUCCUCCUACAUCGCAAUAGUUAUUUUCGUGGCGAGUGCGCAUAAAAUAGGGAUUUCUCGACCAGUGCAAAGUACCUCACACGAGUC
rnacentral:misc_RNA from 1 species